AUAUUUGCGUUAGUUUAGAGGGUUAGUCCAGCAAAAAAAAUGAUAACAAUUGUGGCAGGACUUCUUUUCACAGAUAUUUAAUACGGCGCACACAGAACACGUUUUGCGUUCCAUACCGCGCUGCGUUCUGAUUGUUUUCCUGCGUAAACGUUCUGUUGAGAUUCACCGUUAUGAAGCGUUUAAGAUCAAAUGAAGUUAAACGCGCCUCGAGACCGAGCUUUCUUCAUCCGUUUGUCACAUUUUAAACGCAAGAACGAGUUGUGUGUGAACGGCCCACAGCAGCAAGGCGUGCAGUCGUGUUUUUUAAGACUUGAACUGUAUUGAGAGCACAUGGAACAGUUUAAUCUAGCUCCUCAUCUAAAGCUAAAAACAGCAUUUUGUUCAUUCCUUUGUAAUUAUAUACUUGCAGCAUUUAUAUGAGCUCAAAUUAAUUCAACAAUUAAAUGGAAUAUUUGCACGUUUAAAAAAUUCAUGGCACGCGGCAGGAGCAUCUUUAAAAAGUUAGUGCUGUCAAUAUGACUAAAAAUGUCUAAAACGAGAGAGAAAAAAGCACUUUUUAUAAAUUCAUAUACAUUUCAACAUUUAAGGGAUAGUUCACCCAAAGAUUUGAUCAGAUUUGUCUGAACUGCCUGAAAAUGCACAAUCAAGCACGGCAGCAUUUUUACCUCAUCAGCGUCACGGAUCGCAUUAUGUGCUCAUCACUGGCGUCACUGCGCCUCCUGCUGUCUGAAUGACGCGACUGCAGUUCAGGCGCAGUUCACCUGGAUUCCUGUUUCAGUUCAACGAGUUGGAUAUGAUCACAUCUAGGUAAAUUCAGGAGUGCAACUACGGCAGCACAAACCGCUGAAGUGAUUAAUGUAUUGUUUUAUCGUUGGAUGGACAGACAAAUCUUAGUCAUAUCAGCUGUAAAACACGACUCCCAACAAAACCACAAUGUCACACCUGCACAAAGAUACUCAAGUCUUCAUAUAAACAGUGUUUGUUUGUGUUUAGUGUGCAAUGAUGACCUCUGUGGCGCGGGACGCCCCCUUUGUGCAUCGAUGUAUGGCUCUAAUAAAGGCAAAACAAGUCCAUCAGACUGAACUCCAGCACAGGUGUCAGUGUUUCUCCAGGGCUUGAGUGAGGAGCUGAUUGAGCUGCGAGAUCAUCGGACGAGGGUCUUCGUUCAGGCCAGCGGUGAUCAUGGUGUUGUUGUAAAUCUGGUAUGUAAAAAAUGGCAUUUAUCUUUUAACUAGAAAUAGUAUUGAGAUGAGAGAGUGGUGGGAACUCUUUCUUUACCUGCUCGAGGAGAAGCUGUGCCAGCUCAGGGUUUGAGUCCUUCAGUGCAUGAAGCUUCU